rnacentral:rRNA from 1 species
UACGUAGGGUGCGAGCGUUGUCCGGAAUUAUUGGGCGUAAAGAGCUCGUAGGCGGUUUGUCGCGUCGACUGUGAAAACCUACAGCUUAACUGUGGGCUUGCAGUCGAUACGGGCAGACUUGAGUUCGGUAGGGGAGACUGGAAUUCCUGGUGUAGCGGUGAAAUGCGCAGAUAUCAGGAGGAACACCGGUGGCGAAGGCGGCGACCUGGGUAGAUACUGACGCUGAGGUGCGAAAGCGUGGGGAGCAAACAGG